UGGGGAAUAUUGGACAAUGGACGAAAGUCUGAUCCAGCAACGCCGCGUGAAGGAUGAAGGUCUUAGGAUUGUAAACUUCUUUUGGCAGGGAAGAUAAUGACUGUACCUGCAGAAUAAGCACCGGCUAACUUCGUGCCAGCAGCCGCGGUAAUACGAAGGGUGCUAGCGUUACUCGGAAUUACUGGGCGUAAAGAAUGCGUAGGCGGAUUUGUAAGUUGGAAGUGAAAGCCCUGGGCUCAACCUAGGAACUGCUUUCAAAACUGCAAGUCUUGAAUGUGACAAUGAGUAGGGGAAUUCCUGGUGUAGGGGUAAUAUCCAUAGAUAUCAGGAGGAAGACCGGAAGUGAAAACGCUUACUUGGGUCAAUAUUGACGCUGAUGCAUGAAAGCGUGGGGAUCAAACA
rnacentral:rRNA from 1 species